GGAAGUAAUAACAUACUAGUACAGAAAAGCUUUUUCAACCAAGUUUGGCCAAAACAUCAUUUAAGGUAGAUACAGUUUCAGCAUAGUACUUCUCUGCUUCAGGGCUGUUCUUGGUCUUUGCUGCAUGGUCCAGCUGAGGAAGGAAAAGAACAGAUUAUUAAAACGAAUACGAAAAUAUAAGCAACCCUUUGGAUUUCUAUGCACAUUAUUUCACUACUUUUGACAUUCAUGUACGUAACCAAGAAUAUAAUGUAGAGAUUUGACUUACAUCACUAAUGGUCUUGAAGAGCUUUCCAGUCAGGUCCUGGAGUUUUCCCUUCUCUUCUUUUGGCUUAGCAGAGAUUACGGUCUUAAGGUCAUAGCGAAGGUAUUCUGCUCUGAGACGAAGGUCAUUCUGGACAUAUGGCCAGGCCUUCUUGUCGAUGAAAUUCUUGACGCUAACAAUCUCCUUGGCUGAAUCCUUAACUCUCUGGGCUGCUUCAGCUGGAGUCAAUGGUUGAAGGUAAAACCUCUUCUUCAGUGGUAGACCAAAGUCCCUUGCCUCAUCCGAGUUCAAAGUUCCAGCUGCCAAUACCCAAAUGCUCAGCAUGAGUACACACAUUCCAAAUACUAAAAUUAUCUUUCCUAGUUCUAGUAACCAUUCUUUAUACAGUUCUGAAUUGUUGGAAUUUGUUGUAAGUCUUAUUUUACCAAAAUGAGAAACCAUCAUAUUUCAAUUGCAUAACUACUUCUAAAGAUCCAUCUGGUUUAUUGUAUUUUGCAUUCAUAAAAUGCAAUGCACAAAGAUUGAUUUUCAUGGCACAAGUACUAAGAACUAGUACAAGAUCUCAAUUAUCACUUACUCCCUUCGGUUCACAAUAAGUGACCAAUUUGCUUUGGGCACACCCAUUAAAAAAAUAUUAAAUUCUAGACGAAAAUAGUUAGUGUGACUAAACUACCUUCAUUAAAUGUUGCACCAUAGUUAUAGUAGUACUUACUUCUUUUUUCAAAUGUGAGGAGUAAAUGACUUUUUAGGAAUACGUACAUAAGGGUAAUUUUGGAAAAACAAAUUGAANNNNNNNNNNNNNNNNNNNNNNNNAUAAAUUGGCCACUUAUUGUGGACCGAAGGGAGUAUCGAUUACUUUUCCAUAUUUCCCAAUUUGGGAAGGAUGUGUCCUUUUGUAUCACAUAUGAAAUCUACUGCUUCAAAUUUAAUGUUUGAAAGCGUUUCUACAAUCGCUUCUCACGAAAUAUUAUAAAAAAAAUCAGAAGGGACAAGUUACAGACCCUUCAAAAGGAUCGGAAUACUCUUGUCAAAUGCAGUCUUUGACUACUUACUAUAAGCCUCUCCUGUUCUUUCUUAAUUCCCUCUUAUAAUUCACAUAAGGAUUUCUCUUUAUGACACGAUCUAGUAACCUUAAUCUAUUCCUCGGUCCAGUGAAGGUUCUAAUCACUGAAAAAUUAAGCAAAAUUAAAUGAAUUGAAAUGCAACACUGGAGACUCACUCUUACAUUCUUUCCUGGAUAUGUGAAUCUUGCUGUCAAUUGUCUGUAACUAUAUCUAUUAUGAUAUUGUUAUUGUGUCGCUCCAGUAAUCAGUGGCGGAUCUAGACUAGACACAAAAGGUUCGACAAAACCCUUAGCUCCAUAUAUGCGUGUUUGAAUUGAAAAAAAUUGGAACAUCUAUAAAAAACAGAACCCAAUGACUCUAAAUGUUGAUUCACCACUGGGAAAGAAAGGGAAAAGGUAAAUAAAGACCUUAACAAAAAGCAAGACAACUUACGUAAUCCACCAGAGGGAGGAGGAGCGCCACCAAUCUUGAUUGAUUUAGCAGCAGCAAAGGCUGCUUGAGCAAAGGAACCAGCAAGGCCAGCAGCAACAAGACCGAUGACGGCUCUACGGCUAGUUUCAGUGUCAGCAGACCCCUGUUGGGCUCUAAUGCUGAGCCCUGGUCUAGCCAAGGCAAUUCUGCUGGUACUAACAGUGCUCAAACGGGCUGAGCCACUGAGCUGACCAUCCAACACAGUCUGAGAAGAACCAAUUAGGCCACCCAUUGAAGCCAUAGCAUGAGCCAUUUUGGUGAACUAUCUGAAAUUUGUUUCAGGCAAGGGUGAUAGAAGUAGGGUGGGGGAAAUUAUAAGUUAAUGUUGUGGUACGUAUGAUGUGGAUAUUGCAAUUUCUGGUGUUUGUGAUGCAGAGUGAAUACACUAAGAUCACCUUAUCUGUCUUUGGAUAUGCCAUGAGCCAAUCAGUGCCUACUUUCUUGACAUGUAGGAUCAGGUUCUUUUUCCAGCUGUAGCAUCUUGACACAUGGACCAAGAAGAUUUUGGAUUUACACGUCAUCAUGCAUGACAAAUAUAAGUUGCUGAAAUUGAUGAAACUUCUAGAGCUUGUCCAAUGAGAAAAAGGAAGUCCAAAUCAUGGCAAGAGCCUAAGCGCAUUAAAUUUAUUACAUUAUAAUACAGUUUCACCUUACAUUUUUUCACAAGAUAAGUCCUUCUGAUCACAGUAACUUUUAUAGUAUACUAAAAUUGGCCGAAUGGGUAAUGAAUCUAUAUUUGUAGUCCUCUAGAUGCCACCUAAAAUCUCUUUUGGGAGAAGCCGUUAGCAUUUCAUUUUGUGAUUGUAUCGUUAAACUCGCAACUAUUUUUUGAAUCAUUACAAUUUACUAAAAAAAGUAAAUAUCUGACACUGAAAAGUGAUGCAUAAUUGCAACAUCACCAAACUAAAAAAUUACAGCUUGUCAUAAUCAUAUUUUAGAUUAAAAAAAUUAAAACUAAACUAUUUUACGCUCUAAUGCAAAAUAGUUUAUGUUAAUAUUUUAAAAAUAUCAUUAUGUCAAGCUGAUUUUUUUUAAAAUUUGCUGACGUGGCAACAACAUCCCAUUUUUCAAAGCCAGAUAUUUGAUUUUCCAUUUAUGUACUUUCUAAAAAAUUACAACAUAGUUCAGUGAAUUUAAUGAUAAUAAAAAUAGAUCAGUAACUUUACUUAUAUAUCAGGCAGAGGGAGCGGCGGAGCGGGGAGGGUUGAAAUCAUCAUUUAAAAAGGUUCGAAAAAUAUUUUCCCUCCUUCUAUUAGAGAAGUUAUUUUUUGGGUUAGAGAAAAAUAUGUUUUACAAGGAAAAGAAAAUUUCAAAACAUUCCAGUCAAUCAAACAUGUAAAAGUUGGAUCCUCCGUGCCAAAAACACCGUAAAUAUUGUACGGGGCGCCUUAUUUGGUCGUCCUCAUUUAACCUAUACCCACUUUUUAAAAUGUUUUAACUUGUACUCAUUGUUUAAACAACUUCAGGCCUCUUUUUCCUCUUCCUUCUCCUCCUUCGUUUUCUGAAUGUUGAAGCUUGAGAUACUGUUAUUUGUUCUAGCCUGAUGAUUCAUAUAUAUUUGCUUGUCCCAUUAUAUUUAUUUUGGUCUUAUUCACAAUAAUUUAACCUCUUAGAUAUUUUAGCUUUAUAGGUAAACUGAUUUUUGGUUCUAAUUUAUCUGUAGUAACUUAUUUUCAUGUCGAAAAUAUUUUCAUUUUUUAAUCUUUAAAUGAACAGCAUCAAUCAUUGCUAAUCAUGAUUUAUUAAGUUCAUUGUUGUUUACAACUUCAGCUCUAAGAAUGCUGAAGUUCAGCAAAUACAAAACAUGUUGGGAUAUAUACUAUUAACCAUGAUUUUUGGUUUGGAUAUAGUAUUUAUGAUGGAACAAUUGUUUAUUCAAUUUUGAUANNNNNNNNNNNNNNNNNNNNNNNNNNNNNNNNNNNNNNNNNNNNNNNNNNNNNNNNNNNNNNNNNNNNNNNNNNNNNNNNNNNNNNNNNNNNNNNNNNNNNNNNNNNNNNNNNNNNNNNNNNNNNNNNNNNNNNNNNNNNNNNNNNNNNNNNNNNNNANAUUAAAUCAUCGGUUCUUAUAAGUAUAAACAUCAUGUUCACAAUCUAAUGAUUGGAUUGGACAAACCAUCAGGAAUGAUUGUAGCACAAGAUUAAAUAUAUUUUAUCUUGAAUAUGGGAAUAGUUUAAUUCUGACUUCUUGUGCUAGUACAUUUUGUAUGUAUUGAACGGACCAAGUAGAGAUAAGUAUUUUAUACUGACUUGAUAAAAUAAAUUCUCUAGCCAUUAAAUGUACUUAUACUCUUAAUCUUGAUAUAAUUAUUAUUAGGUGUGCAUAUUAUUAUUGUUUUGAUUUAUUAAAAGGCAAGAUUCUUUCGUGGGUCAAUAUGCCUGGUAAAUUGGACAAUAAUGAUAUACGUUGGCAAAGUAAUAGUUAGUUGAUGGAAUUCAUGUCUCGGUCUAGAGAUUGAUGAUACACCUUAUAAGUUUUCAUGUGUAAACCCUGCAGAUGGAUUUUGUAUCCGUCACAUGAAAUAAGUUAAGCGAAAGUCUAAAGGAAAUAAUCAAUGAAUUAAAUUGUCAGUAAUUUAAUUUAUUCGAUUAGUAUCCGAGUCUUAACACGGAGAGUUAAAUAAGGUUUAAUGGAAGAAUUUCGAAAUUGAACUGAGGAGUGCAGUUACGAAUUUUUAGUGGAAUAAUUCGUAAUUUAUUAUGGUAGUAUUAAUUCAGACAUUUCGAAUUAAGUCCAUAAUAGGAAGUCUCGUUAAUUAAAUAUUGUGGUCCCUGUUGUGACCGAAUAAUUAGGAAUUAAAUGGAAUUAUAUUUCGUGGUGGAAAAGUAAGACCCAGCAGGUUUAGGAAAAGGCUUUAAACCCUAAAACUUGUGGCUAUAUAAAGGGGUCUUAUUCCAUAAGGAGGCUAUGGUUUUUAUAUACAGUUUUCCUAGGAGAAACUCGUGUGGAGGAUGAUCCCGUGAACGUUUUUGCUCUUGCUUGGAGGUUCUUUUCGCGAUCAUUGUCACGCUUCAAGAGAUAAGUAUCGAUUUUAUGGUUGAUUAAAAUCUAUAAUUAUGUGUUGUCUAUAUUACAUGCAAGUGAUCCUGACUAUUUACUUCCGUUGUUCAUACCUAUUUCCAACAAUUGGUAUCAGAGCCAGGUAGAACGUAAGGAAAAUCAUAUGGUAAAGCUUUAGUGUAGUCGUUGACAGCAGUGGCGGAGGCAGGAUCUCCACGAAGGGGGUUUAAAAAAAAAUUAUGGCUAGUGGGAAUUGAACCCAUGACCGUAUGUAAAGUUUGAACCCCCUUGACCACUAAACUACACUUUUGGAUUGUGUUAAAGGUGUUUAAAACUUAAUAUAUAGAGAUAAAAAACAGAUUUUGCCUUAUAUAUACAGUGUAAUUUUUCGGCGAAGGGUGUUCGGGUGAACACCCUUGCACCCCUAAAUCCGCCCCGGGUUGACAGUUCGGCUGCGGAAAUCGAAGUUGUUCAUUGAAUGGUCUUAAACCCAUUACUCGUAAGUUGUAAGAAUGUAAGUUAUGGAUUUGUGGUAAGAAAUAAUUUUAAGAAUAAAAGGAAUUGAAGGUCGUUGGCUGUUGCUUGGCCGAAGAUGCAUAGGCGUGGAUUUAAUCUACUGUUUUGUUAUUUAGCAAAGAUUGCAUUGAGGAAAGGUACUUGCACAUUCCUUUGAUGGAAUAAAGUGGUAGUGUCUGACUGUAUCACCCAUGAAUUGGAAAAGUUCACCUUGACCAUUUGAAUUGAUUCCUGAGUCCAGCCUUUGGGCACUUCACGUGUCAGUGUUAAACACAAACACUUAAAUUGUCUAUAUUCUUUUAGAUGCUAUGAGUGUAGUAAAACUUUUAAGGCUUCUUGUUAUUGAAUGAAUAUUGAGGUUUGGCUCUUCGGGACAAUUAAUUAGACAAAAUAAUUUCUGGGAUUAUUUAUAUGGGCAGAAUAUUACAUAACAUUGUAUGAAUUAAGAAUUUCAUGAUUAACAAAUGGGUACUUAAGUGGUUUGUUUAUUCGAAAUCAUUAAAAAUUCUUAGAGCUUUAUACAUAUGUGAUGAUAUAUGUAACGACCCGACCGGUCGUUUUGAGCUUUUGCACUUUGAUCGCCAGUUCUCGGGCAUGACUUGCCCUGUAUGAUGUAUUAUGACUGAUGUGGAUCGAUGGUUUUGGUUUUCAGGAAAAUCGGAAGGAAUUUGAAAGAACGGUCUUAGAUGAAAGCUUUGAAUUUGAAAGGUUUGACCAAGAGUUGACUUGUUUGUAUAUGAUCUCAUAUCGAAAUUUUUAUGAUUUGGUUAGCUCCGUUAGGUGAUUUGUGACUUAGGAGCACGAUCAGAAUGAGUUUUGGAGUUGUAGAGAAGAUUUAGGCUUGGAUUGACAAAGUUGAUAUUUUGGCGAUUUUCGGUUGAUAGGCGAGAUUUUGAUACGGGGGUCGGAAUGAAAUUUCGAGAGUUGCAGUAGCUCUGUUAUGGCAUUUGGGAUGUGCGUGCAAAGUUUCAGGUCAUCCGGACGAGGUUUGGUAGACUUUUUGAUCGAAAAUGUGUCUUUAGAGUUUUUGAAAUUUUAAGCUUGAAUUCGAUGAAAAAUAGGUGUUUUGAUGUUGUUUAUGGCGUUCCGAGGGUUGGAACAAGUUUGAAUGAUGUAUUGGGAUUGAUUGGCAUGUUUGGUUGAGGUCCCGGGGGCCUCGGGUGAGUUUCGGAUGGUUAACCUUGGGCUUGUGCAGCUGCUGGAAACUUUCUGCUGCACUGUCUGGAUUCCUUCUUCGCGUUCGCGAGAAGGCCUCGCGUUCGCGAAGAGGAAAUUAUAGACCUGCACAUUUUGUGCUUCGCGUUGGCGAAGAGAGCCUCGCGUUCGCGAAGAAGGAUUUGGCUUAUGAGAUUUUGUUCUUUGCGUUCGCGAAUAAGAAGGAAUUCGGUUGCACAGGUCUUACUUCGGAGGCUUAUAUCUCUCAAUAUACAAUGAAUUUGGAUAUGAUUCAAAAUCGAAAGUUAUAUUUCUUUGAGUCUAGUUUCCAGAAACAUAUUAUAAUACGAAUUUGGAGUUGUGUGGAAAGAGUUAUGACCAUUGCACUAGAGGCUGUCCAAGCAGAGUUUGGAAAAAUGAUUUUUGAAAUUUUGUUCUUCGCGAACGCGAGAGUAGGACCGUGAACACGAAGAACAAACCCCUGGGCAGCAGAAUAAAGUCCAAACUCGUCUCACACUUCCAUUUUUGGACCAAGGGAGCUCGGGUGAGGCGAUGUUUCGAAGGAUUUUCAGAGAAAAUAACGGGGCAAGUCUUCUUGAAUCAAUUUUGGUUAGAUUACUCGAAUCCAUCAUUGUUUUUAACAUUAAUUGAUGAUUUUAGUUAGUAAAAUCUUGAAAACCCUCUUGGAUAGAAUCGCGGAUUUGAGGGUCGAAAUGUGAUGGGAUUUGAAUAAUUUUGGUAUGGUUAGACUCGUGGGGAUAUAAGGAACCUGUUGAUGUAAAAAUUUCUGAGUUUCAAGAAGUGGGCCCGGGGCUCGGGUUUUGCCAAUUUCGGGAUUUUUGAUAUUUUUUGAUUGUUUUUAAUUGGGUAUUAUUCCUUUAGCUUAUUGUGACGUAUUCGUUGUGGUUUUGGUCAAAUUCGACGCGCGAGGAGGCUGAUUUGAGAGGCAAGAGCAUAGCGAGCUAGAGUUUUGGUCGGUUUGAGGUGAGUAAUGAUUGUAAAUGAUGUCCUGAGGGUUUGAAACCCCGGAUUGCACAUCGUAGUGCUAUAUUAAGGUGAGACACGCGCUGGAUGAUGAGCGUGGGGUCUUUUACUACUGGAGAUUGUGACUUGAUCCGUCCCGAUUGAUGAUUUUUACCACAUAUUUGACUGAAAUUUAUUUGUUAUCAUCAUGAUUUGGGUUGAUUGCCAUAUUUGGGCUUCGUGCCAACAUUUGGACCCUUCGGGGAUUUUUAUCACUGUUUCCUCACUGCUCGACUUAUUAUUUGAACUCAGUCCUGUUGAUAUCUACUGUUUUACAAACUCAGCCACUUUUACUCAGAUUUGAAACUUAAAUGAUAUUUCUACAUCAUGUUUUGGGCUUAGAACUACUAUUUUACUAAUGUCCAAGGGGCUUGUGAUGAUUUUUGGACUGAGUGAGGCCGAGGGCCAUAUGUGUGGAUAUGCUGAGUGAUAUGAGGCCGAGGGCCUGAGAUACUUUAUAUGNNNNNNNNNNNNNNNNNNNNNNNNNNNNAGUACCCAUUGUUCUGAGUGAUUGAUACUAUGCCCGAGGGGCUGAUAUGAGUGAUUGUGAGGUAACCCGAGGGGCUAAUACUAUUCUGAGAGUGAGCCCGCGGGGCUGAUACUGUUCUGAGAGUGAGCCCGAGAGGUAGAUUUCUACUUGUUAUUUAUUGCCAAAUUACCUGUUUUACUUGUUUAAAAAGAGAUUUCAUUUGAUACUUCACUGGUUUACCGAUUUUAAGUGACUUCACUACUUCUGUAUAGAAUGCUUUGUGCCUUUACGUGUUUUCUUGCUUUCAGUCAUUAUUUAUAUUUAUUACUCACUGGGUCGGAGUACUCACAUUACUCUCUACACCGUGUGUGCAAAUUCAGGCAUAGCAUAUUUCCACUCCUGAGAGAUGAUCCUUCUAGUCCAGGCGGUGUUUCGGAGACUAUGAGGUAGUUGUUGGCGUCCGCAGACCCCGUGACUCCCUUAUCUUUUCAUUUCCAUGUUAUUCGAACUAUUGUAUCGAAUUUCGUAUUUAGUAGACUUGUAUCAGGAUUCUUUAGUUGCUCAUGACUUGUGACACCCCGGUUAGGGCUAUAUCGGGUUGGAUUUCUGCACUCUUAUCUAUACUUUCCGCUAUUUGGUAUUAUUAAACCAUGUCUAUACUAUAAUUGUGUUAACUUACUGUUUUAAAGGAUGAAUUGGGUUAGACUGGCUGGCUUUGUCUUAACGAGAGGUGCCAUCACGACCAGGUUCGGGAUUUGGGUCGUGACAAGUUGGUAUCAGAGCCAGGUUACUUAGGUCUCACGAGUCAUGAGAAGGUUUAGUAGAGUCUCGCGGAUCGGUAUGGAGACGUCUGUAUUUAUUCUCGAGAGGCUGCAGAACCUUUAGGAAAAACUUCAUGUUCUUGAAUUCUUAUCGUGCGUCCUUAAUUCAGCUUGAAAAGUAACUUUUGAAGCUCCUUCCACGUGUUCGUAUGCGCGCUGAGCGCUCAGUAUUAGAUGUGCCUUGAUGGCUUGUGAUUCCCCGAUCGAGGGGCGAGAUGUGAUUUCUGUGAUGUUCGAUGUUGGGCUAGUCUGGAGAACUUGAGGUCAGAUCUUUGCUUAUGGCUUGAGCACCGAGGUGCUGAUUGUGUGAGCAAGUGCUUUUGAAUUUAUAUGUUCGGUAAUUUUUCCCUAUUGUGGAAGUGACGGCUGAAUGACUAUGUAAUAAGAAUGUUAGUGCUGCGAGAUAUAUUCGUAUGAUUGGGAAGUGACGAGAAAGGUCUGCUGGAGAAUAGAAGAACUAUUAGGUGCUUGAUUUCCGUCUGGAUUCGAGUUAUAGCCCGAGUUGUGGGCGUGUGAAGAAUCUCUUCUUGUUUCCUAGUUGGGGGUGAAGUAAAUUUCAUGUUGCGGUACGAGUUCAGACUCAGAAAGACUAAGCGACAGCGUACGGUUUGUGAUGGUGGAAGGUAUACAGAAAUGUUAAUGGAAGGCAAAGUAGGUGGGUUAUCUCCUGUGAAGAAUUCUGGGGUUGUGUGAUCCUUAUGUGUCUGUUAGAAAAUCUCAUUUACCAGUGGAAUAUAAGUGUUGAAAUUUGAAUGUGGGUCACUUCAGAGAACAAGCUUGACUGUUGCACGAGUGAAUUGCGAGAAUUGCAGAAGAGUUAAAGUACUAGAUGAUCUGUGUUUUCGUAGGCUUGCAAAGGAUUCGAGUUAAAUCUCACUAUGGUAUUAUGACAUCAAUAGAGUACAAGUGUUAUGAGUUAUUGAGAGAAUUUUGAUCUAUGACUCCGAGCCAAGUGGGGGAGUCUGAUGUGAGUAGUUGAUUGCACGGUUAGGUGCUACGUUAGUUCCAGUUGGAGGCGUGCGGGCGAAUCAGUUAUGGCUUGCGGAAUUUGAGACUGGGAAUGACUCUAGUAAAGGAAAAAAAGAAAAAAAAAAUCUUAACAAGGUAUAUAGUAUGCUUCAUAAGUGUGUAAGAAUCACGGAAUGUCUUAAGUUGUUGUUGGUAAAGAAUGAUCCGUGCAUAGAGCAGGAAGUUGCUUGGAUGUGUUAGAAUGAGGAUUUCAUUCUGCGGUGUCAGAGUGCUAAUGAGGCACAUGCGGUUCUGUUCAUUUGAUCAGGCUAAUUGCAGUUUGAAUAGGGUGAAUGACUCUCAAGAAUGGUUCUAAUGUGUUCAAGAUUUUACAUAUAACAGUUGGGUAAGUUAAAGUUGUAUAUGUGGUUAGAGACUGAGUUCUCAUUAGAAGAUGUCGAGACUUGUGGUAUUUUCUUUACAAAUUAUGAGAUUCUAUGUAUCAGUACCAGGAAGGUAAAGGUAACAGAUUUAGAUUUGCAGGAAGUCUCUUCAGAGCAAAGUACCUUGAUCGUGGUGCUCGUGGGAAUAUCUGAGAAAGUAUUUAGCGGCUUAUUAGCCUUAGACGGUGUGGCAUUAUGCUUGGGUCCCGUGUGGUAAGUUUGGGUUGAGGAAUUGUGAUGUUAUAACAAGAAUGAGUAUUAAGUUAAAGGUAAAUCAGAAGGAAAUUUAGAUAGAUGGAAUAGUUUGAUAGUAGACCGAAUCGGUAUGGUAAGGAUAUGAUUAAUUCCUUGUGUGUGUUCAAGGUAAUGAAUUCAUUCAGGUAUUUUGCGGCGAUGCUCUUAGGUUUUGAUGGCUGGAUUAGCUUGAUCGAGUUAGAAGGAUUCAGUCCUGACAUGUCUGAUUUGUGCAAAGGGAGCUCGGAGAGUUCUUGAUAGUUUUUACCACGGUUUGGAGAUGUAUACUUUCUAUGGGCAUGCGAAGCGAGGAGCAUGGGAUGUAUAGUGAUUUUUCUUCUAGAUUGGUACCAAUGGAAAGUCCUUGACUAGUUGAGUACGUAGAUGUUUGUGGCUCGGAAGGAAGAUGAAGUUAUCAUGUUAUCCUGAGAUGGUAUGGUAUAUGCGGUAGGUUGUGAAGGAUUGACAAUUGUGUGUGGAAGGUUACGGUUCAGUUCUGAACAGAAAGUCAUGAAUUCUUAGGCAGCACGGGCAGUUUCAGAUGAUUAAGGAAGUGGUAGUGCUAAUUGGGGUGAAUUGACGAGGGUAUGUGUUUCAGAAAAGACAAUGUGAUUAGGUUGAUGGUACUUCGGUAGUAUCGCGACACUUUCUUGUUAGAUCGACUGGUGAUAUUCGAGUUUGCUUGGUGGCACAGGGAAAUUUUGAGUAUCUAUCGUGGAAUGAUUUGGGAAUUUGAGGCGUAAUAUGUAUUCGGACGACAAAAUUGGGAUCGGAUAUGGUGAUUCGUGCGCCAUAUGGAUUUAGAGACAUGAAAGUUCUCACAUUCAGGCUAUGUUGUGGUUGAGAGUCGUGUGUAUCGGCACUGUUUAGUGACUAUCAGGGUUUGGAGACCCGAGUGGAUCUUUCUUUAUUGGUAUGUUAGAUAUUGGACGUGAUGUUGGAGUUCAGACCAGUUGUCUCCGUGUGGUGUCAUUCUGGACUGUCGCGCUAAGGCGGCACUGUUGGCUAUGCUAGAAAAGCCAUGGGUUGAGUGGCGAGGUUCGAUGGAUUAUGUCCUAGUAGAGUGGUAUUAUAUUUCUAAGGCUCAGCGGACGGCUGGGAAGGAGUGUCUUUCUUAUUUGGGCUCUCGUGAUGGAUGUCAGUGUAGGGCUCCUCAUAUUGGUCCAGUUCCGGGGGUGAGGAACUUUUCGGAUGUGUUUCAUGUUGUCGGGCAUGUCGCCAGGCAAGGUUGUUGAUUUCGAUAUUGAUUCGAUGACGGAAACCAAAUAAUAUUAUUGAGGGAUGUGUUGAUUCGAUUGUUAUUGAACUUAUUAGUAAUCUGGGAGGUCUAUGAAUUACAUUUCUGUGUUGCGAGAUGUAUGGUUUGUUGGUUAUGGUCACAUAUGGUGCGUUUCUAUUGGGGUUCAUAGUCGAAGUCGAGCAGGAAGAGUAAUUGGGUGUUGCUCUGUGAAUGGCAUAUCGGUUAUGUCCUAUCGGGUUUGUGUGGUAUAUGCUAUUUGCUUCACCGUGGGUGUAAUGGAUUUACUUUGGUUCCAGACAUCAAAUUGUGUGUGGUUGUCAAUUUCGAGCAUAGUGAAUUGAGGUAUUUCAUGUGGAACAGUGUUUGGAUAGGAUCGCGCAUCUUGCAGCGAAGCUAUGUUGAGAUAUGACCUUGCGGGUUAGAUUCGGGUGUUCUAUUUCUAUGAUGUGAGACGGGUCCUCAGCCUUGUGUGGUGAUGGUACUAGUGAGCUUGAGGUACAACUCUUGCAUUUGAGUCAGUUUCAUGAUGUGAGUAUGUUCGGAUUAUUGCUUAUUGGUACGCAGACUGUGCAAGUUGUGGCUUUAUUCUGUGUGGGAUUAGAUGCGAUCGUUGGGGUUUUAAUGAAUACAAACGGGUUCGAUUUCAGCAUGUUUGAAGGAUAAUAUCAAGGUUCGGCUCAGAAAUUUGCUAUGGUCCUUGCCGAAGGAGAAAUGACCUUACGAAUGGUUGAUCUAAGAAAUGGUUAUGGUUUAUUGCGUAUUUCGAUUAUCAUUGGCAGUAUAUGGAAGUGUUCGAAUGAGACUUUAGUUGAUAAAAGGUUUUCUAUCGGUAUUCGGUUGUUAUGUGCAGCUGCUAUGAUUAGAAGUUAUCGCUACGAGUAUUUGAGUUAUGUGGUAUAUCAUGUGACUACACCUGAGAUAGCAGAUAUGCUUUGUUACGGCUUGUUCGGAUUUAUUCACAGUAUAAAUGUGAGAUUUUAAUCAUAUUGAGGAUUUUAGAAGCAGAAAUGUGGUUCUAUGGUUUAUGGACUAGGAUGGAUUGUGAAAUUUCAGUUAUAUUGUGUUAUCGAACCUAUAUUAGAUAGGGUGACGUGG
rnacentral:lncRNA from 1 species